AGUGAACGCUGGCGGUAGGCCUAACACAUGCAAGUCGAACGGCAGCACAGAGGAGCUUGCUCCUUGGGUGGCGAGUGGCGGACGGGUGAGGAAUACAUCGGAAUCUACUCUGUCGUGGGGGAUAACGUAGGGAAACUUACGCUAAUACCGCAUACGACCUACGGGUGAAAGCAGGGGAUCUUCGGACCUUGCGCGAUUGAAUAAGCCGAUGUCGGAUUAGCUAGUUGGCGGGGUAAAGGCCCACCAAGGCGACGAUCCGUAGCUGGUCUGAGAGGAUGAUCAGCCACACUGGAACUGAGACACGGUCCAGACUCCUGCGGGAGGCAGCAGUGGGGAAUAUUGGACAAUGGGCGCAAGCCUGAUCCAGCCAUACCGCGUGGGUGAAGAAGGCCUUCGGGUUGUAAAGCCCUUUUGUUGGGAAAGAAAUCCAUCUGGUUAAUACCCGGGUGGGAUGACGGUACCCAAAGAAUAAGCACCGGCUAACUUCGUGCCAGCCGCCGCGGUAA
rnacentral:rRNA from 1 species